GACGAACGCUGGCGGCGUGCUUAACACAUGCAAGUCGAACGGAAAGGCCCUGCUUUUGUGGGGUGCUCGAGUGGCGAACGGGUGAGUAACACGUGAGUAACCUGCCCUUGACUUUGGGAUAACUUCAGGAAACUGGGGCUAAUACCGGAUAGGAGCUCCUGCUGCAUGGUGGGGGUUGGAAAGUUUCGGCGGUUGGGGAUGGACUCGCGGCUUAUCGGCUUGUUGGUGGGGUAGUGGCUUACCAAGGCUUUGACGGGUAGCCGGCCUGAGAGGGUGACCGGCCACAUUGGGACUGAGAUACGGCCCAGACUCCUACGGGAGGCAGCAGUGGGGAAUAUUGCACAAUGGGCGGAAGCCUGAUGCAGCAACGCCGCGUGCGGGAUGACGGCCUUCGGGUUGUAAACCGCUUUCGCCUGUGACGAAGCGUGAGUGACGGUAAUGGGUAAAGAAGCACCGGCUAGCUACGUG
rnacentral:rRNA from 1 species